CGUACCGUCAGUGAUGGCGAUCCUGCGGAGCUAGUAUGGUGUCUAGCAGAUUCGCGCCCUGGGAGGAUGGUGCAGCCGCUGCGCGAAUCUGGGACUCCGGGAUUACAUUGAUGGAUUUUCAUAUUUUGACCAUCUCUGCAUCCCUGGGAUAAAGCCUGCUUGAUAAUGGUGGAUGAUCUAAUUGAUGUGUAGCUGUUCCGCAAUUAGAAACAGAAGUGGAUCCAAAAGCUCAGACUCACAGACUCACAGACUCACAGAUGACUCACAGACACCCACCAUGGCUUCCCUGCCAUGGAAGCCAAAAGCAGCCCAGAGAGGAAAGUAGACGAACAGCUUUAUGUGAUAGUAUCAUUACCACUGUACACAUGAUGAAAAAAAGGCACAGAGCUUAGCACUUUGCUCAAGAUUUGUUUGUUUAUAUGGUACAGUACAGUGAUGAAUUUCAUAUAUUGAAGCACCUCUGCCUGGGACAAAAUCUACUUGAUCAAGUUUAUUGAUUUCAACCCCAAAUUUGAUUAUUUGCUGCCUUCUACUCCUCCUGGGUAUGUUUGCUACACUUUCUUCUAAUCCCUUCAGGUAAAAGAAAUGGGGUUGAGAAGAAAAAUGGAGGAAUAUAGGAAUAUCAUUGGAAUAAUAGGAGAAAAGGGCACUUUGAUGAAGAGUUCAUUUACCGAAAAUGAAGAUGCAUAUUCUCAGUGGAUGAAAGCAACUGUGUCAUUUUCCAUGACUCAGCCAUGCCCAUGUUCUUGAACAUGAAAAUCUGUUUUAACUCUCAGUUAGAAAGCUAGUGUGGUUAGACAAGAUGACUGUUGACUUUCAUGCAAUAAAGAGUGGAAGAAAGUCCCAACUGUUCCCCUUACUUUGUACAGUAACCUCAUUUGGAGAAAUAGCCCUGAGAAGCUAACACCUAAAACAGACUGUCUCUUUGAACAAUAAACUCUUCUGGG